CUAUACAAAACAUUACAAAAUAAAAGUUGUGCAAAGUUGUUAUUAUUAUUAACGUAACUUGAAAUGACAUUCUUAUAAAAUUAUUGAUUGAUAUAUAUAUUUUGUUAUUAAUUCAACGUGUAAUGGAUUAAAUUGCCUAAAGGGGUAAAGUAUAACACUGAGUCGAUCAGCCGGCUUAAAACUAUACAGCAAAGGCGACAAUGGAAGAAAAGACAAAGGUAAACGACUUAUUAGAGACGAGUAUGCAGCAAUGACGAUCCAGAACAAUAUACAACAGAAAAUGUCAACCAGGAUAAAUAUAGUUCUUCUUUUGCUUUCAUUGUUAUUUCAGUAUCUCUGUCUCAAAAAUAGAAAAUCUGAGUGAUUUUCUUCUAUCGAAACAGUUUUGGUUGCUAAGUAAUAAAAGUCUGCUGAAUGAAUUAUAGGUUUAUUUGAUACAAUAUCUAGUCUGAAGGCUUACAACGUAAAACAAGUGUUAUUACAUUUGAAACAAGUAAAAAUAUCGUUAUAUGUUUUUAUUAAUAAUGUGUUGCAUUUGAGGUAAUGCAAUAAAAUGUACAUUAGUGACAAAUGAAUUAAGCAAAAACAAGAUUUUUUUUCUACAUUUUUUCGAAACAGCUGUUCAGUGGCAAUUAGUUUUCUAAAAUGUCAGUACAGAAACUGCCUUGAUAACCUUCUCUUUGGUGGUUAAAGAAUGGAUCACAACUACACAUAUGAGAACUUACCGUAAUAUUUAAUCUUAUUAAUUUUACGUUUAUUCAAAGAGGAAUUUACCGACCAAAAGUCGAAAUAAACCAAUGUUACCAUAUACCUAAACGUUUAAAGCCGCUUAACUGUAAAAUAUCCCAUAAGAAAUAAAUUGGUCAGUUCUUUAACAACUUAAAUACAUCUACUAAGUAAAGUAUACCAAGGAAUUUCUCUUGACCUUUAUAUUGUAAUUAAGAAAAUUUGAUGUUACCUCAAUUAUAUAUGUUAGAAAAACGCACAGUUUGGUUCUUUGAAAGCAAUAUAGACUUUUAAAUCUGUAUAUUUAUAUCUAAGGGUGGUUUGUAUAACAAACAUGUGAGCCAGCAUCAACCAAAAUUUACCAUAUUUACGAUAUUUGCCCUUUAUUAUACAAAUAAUAUAGCCGCAUUAUACGAACGAACGAACCAAACAACCAACAAGUAAAAUCUGCGUAAAAAAUGGAAGAUAUGUUAAUAACAUUGAAAUAAAUCUUUAUGAAGGGAAAAAUGUGACUAAAUUUGAAAAAAAUCCAGUGUAGCACUUCAUAAAAUAUCUAUACAAAAAUCUAAACAAUUGAAACACGGAAUAAAGAAUUGUACUGGCCUAU